rnacentral:hammerhead_ribozyme from 1 species
AGCCGAAACGCCCGCAAGGGCGUCCGCAGGGAAUGACCUCCCUGCGCUGAUGAUGGCAGGUCACG